rnacentral:rRNA from 1 species
UAACGCGUGGGAAUCUGCCCUGGAGUGGGGGAUAACCCGGCGAAAGCCGGGCUAAUACCGCAUACGUCCUGAGGGAGAAAGAUUUAUCGCUCUAGGAGGGGCCCGCGUCGGAUUAGCUAGUUGGUGAGGUAACGGCUCACCAAGGCGACGAUCCGUAGCUGGUCUGAGAGGGUGAUCAGCCACACUGGGACUGGGACACGGCCCAGACUCCUACGGGAGGGAGCAGUGGGGAAUAUUGGACAAUGGGGGCAACCCUGAUCCAGCAAUGCCGCGUGAGUGGUGAAGGCCUUAGGGUUGU